rnacentral:misc_RNA from 1 species
UCCCACCCACUCUGUAAGCAUGAAUGUUUCCAGCAAUGUCGCUCUUCGAUCACGUCAAUCUAGUCUAUGGAGCAAUUAGUGAAUUCUGUACAGCGACCAGUUGCCCGGACAUGACAGGACCAGGGCAAAGGACCUACUUGUGGUUCGAUGAGAAGGGCAAAAAGACCAAAGUGGCCGCUCCCCAGUAUAUUGACUACGUGAUGACUUUCAUUCAGAAGACCAUCAGUGAUGAAACGAUUUUCCCCACCAAAUACGAGCUGCCGCAAUUGAUUCAACUCAUCAUCUUCCAUCCAGCAAAUGAGUUUCCAGUUUCCUUCGAGUCAAUCGUGCGUAAAAUAGUGCGAUUGCUGUAUCACGUGGUGGCUCAUUUGUACGCGGCCCAUUUCAAAGAGGUGCUGCUGCUGGGGCUUCACUCCCACCUCAAUCUAACCUUUGCCCAUUUGAUGGCGUUGCACCACCGAUUCACCCUGAUCGAUCCCAAAGAAACCGACAUCCUAGAAGAUUUAGAGAUGGCGCUCGGCCUCAACCAGGAAGCGGUAGAGGCCGCCAACAACAAUGAAGAACGGGAUAGAAGCGAGGAUAGUCGAUCUCAGUCCACGGAAGAUACUUGUAAGUUGAUUUGAUAAUGGCUGAUUGAUUGGUAGUAAUUGGGCGGACGAUAGGACAGUUUUUGGUUCCUCGAAACUGGUUGGUACAUGUGGCGACAAUAAAUCCUAGCUAAAUGUAAUUUAAGACAAAGGGAUUUCAAAACCUUUAACCGUAAUUUGAUGUGAUUUAAGUGGGAAACCUAACUACUUUAUAUGUUGUAGAUCGCGAAUGUGAUGUUAAAAGACGCAUAGUGACUGAAUUAUUUUUCUAGUGUAACAUUAUUUAUUUUAUAUAACUAUUUUUAUCUAUUUUAAUGAUACGACGUCUGUUAUUUAAUUUUCUUGUUUUUUUUACUUACACUAACAUUUAGAGAGUUUGCGCGUUGUUUCGUUCUCCAUAAAUUUCAAGACGCGCACUAACUCCCGCUAGUGUUUGUUCCUAUUUUAUCAGAGAAUGCAUGAUACUUAAGUGUUUUAGGUUGUAGACAAUUUGUGGUAAGUCACUGCAUACAGAUACACACUGUAAUGAUAGUGAAGAAAACUCGAAUAUAUCAACUGUUGUUAAUUUGCAAGUUUAUCAGAAGCUUUAUAAGCAAAUAGUUGGUAGACCUUAACUGUAAACAAGGGUACUUUUUGACUCACCAGCUUAACUUCCUGUGGUAUUCCAUCAAGUUUUUUUGUAAUAAAUCACUAAUUUUUCCAAAAAACACAUUUAAAAUACCCUUUUCACUCUUGUCGCAAUGACACUAAACUAACCGACUCUAAUUAAGCGUCAAAGACUUUGACAGUCAUAUUGUAGACUAAAUUAAAUUUGUUUUCAAUUAAAAUUCACUUAGUAGGCUUGGAAUGAAUCUUCAGCUACUUUUUUGUGCAUAACAAUUUUCUUCUGCUUGUCUUGGUGGGGAAUUGGUCGCAAAAGUUCUGAAAGGAGCGAAAUAACUAAGCCGAAACGUCGCGUUUUUUAUGGACGUACACAGUAGGAGGGCGUGUGCGACACCAUAGUCAAGUUAGUGGGUCUAGCGCUUAUCUAGUACAUGCUCUCAACACUUUGCCGCUGCCCUGCAUCUAGAUGGCCUUUAUUGUUUAACUGUUCCAAGUCCUCUGCUUCUGCCCCCAUUGUGAUGAUCCUUGCCUCCCAUCUACCCGACAAACCAUUUAACUUUUAAAUGUCUGUACAGUGUUGUUCCUCCAGAGUUAGAGCUAACUUAACAGAAGAUGCUGAAUGUACAUAACUAUUUGUAAAAUGAUUUUAGUUUGUUACUUUAGAAGAUAAUAUUAUGUAAACGCUAUUAGAUAAUAUAGCAAUUGUUGAACAAUAAAUAAAUCCUCAGAUGUU